rnacentral:rRNA from 1 species
AGGGAAUCUUCCGCAAUGGACGCAAGUCUGACGGAGCAACGCCGCGUGAGUGAAGAAGGUUUUCGGAUCGUAAAACUCUGUUGUUAGAGAAGAACAAGUGCUAGAGUAACUGUUAGCGCCUUGACGGUAUCUAACCAGAAAGCCACGGCUAACUACGUGCCAGCAGCCGCGGUAAUACGUAGGUGGCAAGCGUUGUCCGGAUUUAUUGGGCGUAAAGCGAGCGCAGGCGGUUCCUUAAGUCUGAUGUGAAAGCCCCCGGCUCAACCGGGGAGGGUCAUUGGAAACUGGGGAACUUGAGUGCAGAAGAGGAGAGUGGAAUUCCAUGUGUAGCGGUGAAAUGCGUAGAUAUAUGGAGGAACACCAGUGGCGAAGGCGACUCUCUGGUCUGUAACUGACGCUGAGGCUCGAAAGCGUGGGUAGCAAACAGGAUUAGAUACCCUGGUAGUCCACGCCGUAAACGAUGAGUGCUAGGUGUUAGGCCCUUUCCGGGGCUUAGUGCCGCAGCUAACGCAUUAAGCACUCCGCCUGGGGAGUACGACCGCAAGGUUG